UCUCUCUCUCUCUCUCUCUCUCUCUCUCUCUCUCUGUGUGUGUGUGUGUGUGUGUGUGUGUGUGUGUGGUUUGCUUUGUAACUCGGUUGGCAUGAUUCCCAGUCAUGAACAUUGCAGAUGACAGCAUCAUGUUGCAAUACGGGAGGAUUAGACAAGCCUGCAGGAGUGAGGGUUUGCUGCUGAGUGAGGGUUUAAUCCCACAAGACUUCCUGAGCUCUCAAUGCCCACUUCCCAGGCCUUGUCUGGAAGAAGCACUUCUGCGGUGUAGCCGACUUUCUUGGUGUGCAGGAGGCUGUAGGUGUUGUCAAAGCGCAGGACAUCUGCAAGGACAGAGAGGUGACAGAUAGCAUAAGGACAGCCGCUGUGAGGUUGGGAACAGGCUGACCAGGCCUGUGGGUAGGACGUGUGCAUCAGCCACUGCCCUGUCCUGGCCCACUGUUUGUGACCACCUCCUGGGAGUGUAGUGACCACAGCAAGGGUGUGGCCCCUUCUAGAUCUCCAACAUUGCAGCAGCACCACCCAGCUCCCUGAAUCCCUCCUCGGAGCGGCCUCUGAAGAAAGGUUGCCAGCCCCAUUGCUGUGGCUUGUUUGGGUGUUUUCGCUCUGGGUGUUCUUGUCAUGCUGUGCCAACCCUGCCAGAGCCCCAAAGCAGUAAGGUCACUGGACCUUGG
rnacentral:sRNA from 1 species